rnacentral:rRNA from 1 species
UGAGGAAUAUUGGUCAAUGGGCGCAAGCCUGAACCAGCCAUCCCGCGUGCAGGAAGACGGCGCUAUGCGUUGUAAACUGCUUUUCCAGGGAGAGAAACUUGCGCACGUGUUGCGCAAUUGACGGUACCCUGGGAAUAAGCAUCGGCUAACUCCGUGCCAGCAGCCGCGGUAAUACGGAGGAUGCGAGCGUUAUCCGAAUUCAUUGGGUUUAAAGGGUGCGUGGGCGGACUAUUAAGUCAGUGGCGAAAUCCUGCAGCUUAACUGCAGAACUGCCAUUGAUACUGAUAGCCUUGAGUUUGGUUAAGGUAGGCGGAAUAUGUAAUGUAGCGGUGAAAUGCUUAGAUAUUACACAGAACACCAAUUGCGUAGGCAGCUUACUGAGCCGACACUGACGCUGAGGCACGAAAGCGUGGGGAUCGAACAG